UUUAGCAGAGAUGCUUAGUGCCUUCGGGAACUCUGAGACAGGUGCUGCAUGGCUGUCGUCAGCUCGUGUUGUGAAAUGUUGGGUUAAGUCCCGNAACGAGCGCAACCCUUAUCCUUUGUUGCCAGCACGUAAUGGUGGGAACUCAAAGGAGACUGCCGGUGAUAAACCGGAGGAAGGUGGGGAUGACGUCAAGUCAUCAUGGCCCUUACGAGUAGGGCUACACACGUGCUACAAUGGCGCAUACAAAGAGAAGCGACCUCGCGAGAGCAAGCGGACCUCAUAAAGUGCGUCGUAGUCCGGAUUGGAGUCUGCAACUCGACUCCAUGAAGUCGGAAUCGCUAGUAAUCGUAAAUCAGAAUGUUACGGUGAAUACGUUCCCGGGCCUUGUACACACCGCCCGUCACACCAUGGGAGUGGGUUGCAAAAGAAGUAGAUAGCUUAACCUUCGGGAGGGCGUUUACCACUUUGUGAUUCAUGACUGGGGUGAAGUCGUAACAAGGUAGGCGUAGUGCU
rnacentral:rRNA from 1 species